UACGGAGGGUGCAAGCGUUAUCCGGAUUCACUGGGUUUAAAGGGUGCGUAGGAGGUCAGGUAAGUCAGUGGUGAAAUCUCCGAGCUUAACUUGGAAACUGCCGUUGAUACUAUCUGCCUUGAAUAUUGUGGAGGUGAGCGGAAUAUGUCAUGUAGCGGUGAAAUGCUUAGAUAUGACAUAGAACACCAAUUGCGAAGGCAGCUGACUAGACCUGGAUUGACGCUGAGGCGCGAAAGCGUGGGGAGCGAACAGG
rnacentral:rRNA from 1 species